UGUGAGAGGGAAAAACAAAGUAUUGCCUAGUGAUUUGUGAAUAACUUAUUUGUCCUCAGCACUACUAGGGUGACGUAGUAGCGGAUACCUUCUAGUUUGAGUUACUCCAAAUCCUAGCUGUCCUGGAAAGAAAAUGGACUGGCUGACUUCUGGAAAGCAAGUCACCACACCGGUGCUAGUGACUACAACUAAGCCCUCCUGCUCUCUGAGCAGGGCAGCAGAAUUUGUGUAGUUAUUAACGCUUUCUAGUUCAGCCUGCUCCUAAACUGAAACAUAUACAAAAAGGACUGAAGGGUGAUGAGCUAGUCGUUACUAAGGAGUCCUUUUUUAAAGUGUCUGAUAUUAUGAUUGUCCUGCUGGUUGCAUUAGAUUUUUUUCCAUUCUUGCAAGUUAGAACCCUGAGAAGUUACUCAGAAGUCCUUACUGUAUGAGAAGAUGGGAGAGAGGCAACAAGGGAACUUGUAUUAUAAAACAGAAGAAAAACAACAACAACAACAAAAAUCUCCAGAGCCUUCGAGUGCUCUGUUUCCUUCAUGCUUGAUGCAGAGGAUUAUGCUGUGAACUCACAAUGAUUGCAUCUGGAUUUAUACUUCUGUAUUUUUUAUAUUUUAGUUUUGAUUGCAGUAUUGACUUCCAUCUGAUCAAAGCCUCAGUCACACUGUUAGUUAACCCCAUCGCUACUGAAAUGGUAAAUUAAACAGAAAAUCUGCUAACUGCUUACAAAAGCCUUUUACCACUCUUUAAGAAGCCUUAAAUGUGCAACUCAGUUUGUCUGUUCAGCAUGUAUUGGAUUUGCUUUUGUCAUUUGCUAAGUACUCUUAGUCUCUUCAGAGAUGGGGAAUAUUUUCCCCAAGUGGGUACGAGGCUGUCUUUUUGAGUUUGGUAUUCUUAACCCUGGUUGGGCUUUUUUGUAAGGAGAAGGGACUGACAGGAAAAAAAAAUGGUCAUAGAGUCUAUUUGAUUUUUAUCUGUUUCUGAAAUUAACAUAGAAAAUAAUCUUCAGAUAAUCUUCAGUGUAUUGCCCUAAAUGUACUGUGGUUCUGUAUCUUUGUCUGAAACAGAAUUUUGGCAAGGGACCGAUGAAAGACGAAGAUGGGGAGGAGGAAAGAGUAACUGGGACAGUUGAUCAAAGUGUAUCAAUUCAUAAAUAAGGAAUGUAGCAUGUUUUGAAUAUCUGAGCUUGUAGCUUGAACCCCUGGGAAGGCUGGACUGCAAUGAUUGCUGCAACAUCUCGGAUGAUAAACUGGCAUGGUAAAGAACUUGUUUCGUAAGAAAAGAAAUACUUUGUGCUACCUUAUAGUAGAAGUAACUUUUGCAUUUUUGGGGAGUUCAGUUCAAAAACUGCAUUUGUCUCUGCCUAUCAGUUUUCUGCCAUAUAUUCAAGUUUCCAUGUUUUUAUCUCUUAUAGUAUGGAAAGGCAAAUUAGGAAAAAAAUCCUGCACUGAAUCACAGCAAAGAGCUGUGGGCUUUAGGCUGUGUGUUGUGCAUGUGGGUUUUGUUGGUUUGUUUGUUUUAAAUACAAGAGUAGAGCUUUUAUAUUAGACUGUUAGGGCUAUGAAGCAGCUGCUAAUAUUCAUCCUAAAAAUUACCAAGUGUUGGAAAAGUUUGCUUUCCCAUCUUUCAGUGCUUGCAUAUCUCAUUUAAAUCUGCUGCCUUUGUGGGGGAGCAGGGACACUGGAUUCAAAAGCGGUUGUUAACCAAAUCUGUUGCUGGGAUGUCCCUGCAUUGUUUAUGAACACCUGUCAUCCCAACUUGUUCUUACUUGCUAUGUUUUAGAGUCUUUUUCUUUAAGCGGUGUUGAUAAGAUUACAGAAGGAUAGUUUGCAACAAGUAUGUUCCAAAUUUAUCCCAGUAAUUGUAGAUUUAUUUGCCUAAUUUACUCUCAACAUUUAUCUAAGGGAGUAUAUUAUUUUUUUUAAGGUACAUAACAGCUAAAAAGCAAAUGGUGUGAGCAGUCAUGUAAGCAAGCCUCUUAACCAUUCUACACAUAAUACCUUCCUUGGUUUUAGAGUACAGCAGCAAUUGAUUUCAUUUUUAAACUUCAAAGCAUUUUUGUCCUGCCAUGGGACAUAGACACAGAACUAGUUAUGAACACAUGACAGUUGAAUCAGUCAAACUUCAUUUUGUGAUGUCCUCUCAGAAUAAGCUAAACCAGCAUGUCUGUUUUGUAGAUUAUUCUUUUAAUGUAGCUCAGACUUGAACAUCAGUCCUUUACCUUCUCUUCUUUCUCUAACUAUACUGCGUGUUAAAAUUCUAUCCGUGUCACCAGAGUGUAUGCAUAGGUUUUCCAUUUGUCAUUGAGAAUGGAGAUUCAGAUUUUUUUAUUAUUAUUAUUUUUUAUUGUAGUGGUGGUGGUCUUUUUCUUGGUGUUAAUGGUUUGUGUUCGUUUGUUUUAAAUAAAAGCUGUGUGUUGCUA